GUUUCAUCUGGUUGCCUCCAAAUUCAGCUUAAAGUCAGGGGCAGCAGUGAACACCUGUAAUCCCAGUGACUAAGACAGGAGGAUCGCAAGCUACUAAACUCUUGGAAACAGGAGUCUGCCCAUCGGUUGGAGUCCCUGGCUAUAAGCACCUUCUGGUGAGCCAUUGUCCCUUUUGGGUUCAUUUUGCCAUCUGCUCCUAGGAUGGGUCAGGAAAGCCUGGUCCCUCCCACCAGCCUUCCCUUUCACAAUGCCCCCCACUUGGCAGGACCAGCCCUGUACUGGGCAGUAUUGUGAGACCUUUUCCUUUCCUUCUUCCUUGCAGCAGCAUGGCCCUUUUGACCCAUCUUCCCACCUCCACCUUCCCUAGGUCCUUCACUUCCAGGUGUGACUCCGGGGCAUGCCCCUAAACCCUGUCUCCAGAGCCAAUCGUCAGCACCAUAAAUUGGUCACAGCCUCAGUGCCUGAACCUGAGGACACAGGUGCAGGACACUCCAAGCUUGCCUUCCAGAAUCUCAGUCCUGCUAGUAAAAAUGGCCUUGCUUGUGACAAAUUUUGUCAAGCACUCUCCUCCGGGCAGAGUGCCAGGUGCUGAGGAUGAAUGGUGAACAAGUCGCCGAGUCCCUGCUCCAUGGAGCCCAAGUUCAAGUGGAGAAGGAAGACAUUCCCCAAAUCAACACAAGGCGUGCCAAGGGAUUGGAAGUUCCAGAAGAUCAAGCAGGUCUCCAUCAGAUGGUUCCAGACUACCUGCCAGGCUCUGUCUUCAGGACGCGGGAUGUAAAUUUGACCCAGACUUGGCCCUGUCUACUCCUAGAGCUCAGAGUCUCCAUCAGUGUGGCUUAGGAUGUGGUCUUUCCUCCUUUUGGUGAGCUCUCGGAUCUUUGGGAAAUCGGGAGUUGUCCAUUAGUCAUUCUUCUAAAAUCUACCCAGCGGGGGUGUAGCUCAGUGGUAGUGGUAGAGCACUUGCCUAGCAGGCACCAAGUCCCUGGACUCCAUCCCCAGCACUGCAAACACCAAAAACAAAUAAACAAACAAAACUACACACACAAAAAAUUAAAAUCUACAAAGCUUUUUUUUAUUUUUCCAGAUACUUUUGAAACCAUCUAUGUUUUCCCUGAGAAGGGAUUGGCUGGGCCCUGGAUUCCUGGGGGAAAGUUUUGCGCAUUCAGGGACACAACACCAGAUUCCAAAAUCACACAGACCAUGAUUCAAAUCUCACUUCUCUUGCUUGCUGAGUCAUCAUGGGCAUGUUACUUACCCUCUCUGUGCUUCAGUUUCUUUCUUUGUAACACCUUUCUCACUGGGUUGUGCAGAUUCAAAGGAGAAUGUUCACAUUGUUGUGAACAUUCUCCUUUGAAUGGUGGUCUGAGUUGAAGGGAGCGGGGUCUGCGGGGUGCUAGCUGUUGCAAGGAAGGGAGGGGAGGAACUAUCUCACUAGGUUGUGCAGAUUCAAAGGAGAAUGUUCAGAAGGAUCAACUUAAUAUCAUUACACAUUAACUUCCCUUCUGCAUCCACUACAGAAAUUCUUGCUUCCCCCCUCCCUGGGGAUCCCAGUCCUGGAAUUAAAAUUGAAGAUCCUUAAAAUUUUUCAUUCUUCAUUCAUGAUAAGAUCUCAAUCAGCAAGAAUGUAUUCUAUACACUCUACUUAAAAGAUUUUGCCAGAGUUUUUUAAAAAGAUGACCUCAGUUCAGGGUUUUGUCUUCACAGCACUUUAAAUGUGUCUAGAAAAGUAAACGCGGAAGGAUUUGUGAUAAAAACCAUGAGGUCACAGGUGUUGCUCAGUGUGGAUCACUCUCCUAAGGUAGUGAGGCCUCCAUCCCCAGGAGCAUUCAAGCGUAGGCAGGGAGAUCACUUAUGGGAAUUUCAGGGGCACCCCUGUUCCUGGCAAGUCAUACCAAUUUUCUGAAGAAGGGGUCGUCAGAUCUGCUCCCGGUCUGAUCAUGUUCCUUGAAUCUGUCCUCUUUGCCAUGUAAGGCAACAAGCUGUACCUGGCAAACAAGACACAUCUCUUGGAGAAGCUGAGAGGAAUAUGGCAAACCUUGGUUCUGGGCUCAUAAGCACCCUGGAUCCAGGAGGCUGGGGUCAUCCCCUCAGCCCCGAUGCUGGCUUUGAGCCAGAUUAAAUCCUAACCCUCGAGUUGAUAAGGGUCGGAGGGCCACCCAGGCAAGAGGACAUGGGGCCAGGGUUAGGGCCUGGUACUGCUUCCUUCCUCAGAUAGACACCUUGAGCCUUAUCCUCAGCCACAUGUGGCUCUGCACCUUGAGCCACAUGUCCCACUGAAUAAAGGGCUCAGGUAUAAGAGAGGAGGCGAGGGUGGAAUUUACAAGCAACAGCGGAGCAGUGUGGAGGUCAGGAGUGGAGCCCAGGACCAGGCUGUCUCGCCUGCAUUUGGACACCACUGUGUUCUGAGUGUGUGACCAUAGCCACCUAACGGACUUCUCCCUGGGUGGUCUCCCAUCUAAGUACUAACCAGGUCCGACCCUGCUUAGCUUCCAAGAUCAGAUGAGAUCAGGCACGUUCAGGUGGUAUGGCUGCAGACAUCAAAUGUUACACGUUUUUAUUUUCUUUAGUGCAUUAUAGUUACAUAUAACAUGGAGGAAUGUGGCUUCUGAGGGUCUCAGUUUCCCUCAUCUGCAAAGCAGGGUGCUCAUGGAUUGGGUCUGGAGAUCAGAGGAGUUAGCACAGGGAAAGCCCUCGGAAUUUACUGGACACACAGAAAGCUCUGCAUAGGUGUCAGCUGUUAGUCUCUGCCCCCAGGAUAGAAGCAGGCAUCAUAGACUUACUUCACCUUGAGGGUGGUGACCAGAGAUCAAAUGUCGCUUCCUAAAAGGGCAGGGGUGACAUGGGGGACAGGAGUGGAUCAAACCCCUUCUGUCUGUGAAGAGCCACUUAUCCUCCCAAACUGUCACCAGAGUUUGGGAAUUCUGGUGCCCCUUAUCCUGAUAAAUAUAUGUGUUAGAUAGGGUGAUUACAAACAUCUAAUUUAAUAGACAUUGAUUAAAAAUCUUCUUAGCCCAAACCAGCCUGAAACACCGGAGAUCCAGAAAUCAGUAAACGGUGUUGUCUCCUCCGGGAACUUGUUCUGGUCAGGGAGAGAAGAGCCAACUGAAGAAAUAAUAACAAGUCUGGCUCUGAGCGGCACCCUUAUCUGCAUUUCACAGAUGCAGAAAGCGGUAAUCACAGAGGGAGCCACAAUCCCAGAGGGUGUAAACGGCUUCCCAAAGAACCUGCUCCUUCUGUCUCCUUGGCCUCCCUGCCCUCCGCCCCUGCCAGCCUCCUAAACGGAAUUGGACCUCCACCUCGAGGUCAUGGGUGGGAAGGCAAACAGGAAUAAAAGCAUAAACACGAAA